rnacentral:lncRNA from 1 species
GACCGAUUGAACUUUCAAUAUUUGUUUGUGUACAAUAACAAUGUUAUAAAUGAUCAUUGUCUAUUUCUUGGCCUGUUUUUUACCCCAGUUUUAGUCUUGUUUUUGUUAUAUCCAUCAUAUAACUCAUCUGGUACACCUACAUGUAUAUAAAAAGAAAAUGUUGUAUGAUUGCCAAUGAGACAACUCUCCAUAAGAUACCAAAAUGAUACAUAAAUUAACAACUAUAGGUCACCUUACGGUCUUCAACAAUAAUAAAAUUGAGAAUGGAAAUGGGGAAUGUGCCAAAGAGACAACAACCCGACCAUAGAAAAAAAGAACAGCAGAAGGUCACCAACAGGUCUUCAAUGUAGCGAGAAAUUCCCGCACCCGGAGGCGUCCUUCAACUGGUCCCUAAACAAAUAUAUACUAGUUCAGUGAUAAUGAACGCCAUACUAAUUUCCAAAUUGUACACAAGAAACUAAAAUUAAAAUAAUACAAGACUAACAAAGGCCAGAGGCUCCUGACUUGGGACAGGCGCAAAAAUGCGGCGGGGUUAAACAUGUUUGUGAGAUCUCAACCCUCCCC